UUGAAAUUUAGUAUGGAUAUCAGUCUUAUAAUUAUCCACUGAAUACCUGUUCUGUUAGGUCGAGACCUGUCCCAAGAGAAUCCAUAUUUACCCACAUGGAAGCCUAUGAGGAGUAUACCACCGAUGGAUUAUACUGAACCUUGCUAUGCCAAGGCUCCAUGAAACUCAGAUGAGACAGAACAAGAAAAAAACUCCAUCUCUCCUUGUUCAAUGAUGUCUUGGUUAUGACUAAUAACCUAGCCAUGAACGAUGCCAAGAAGGGAAACAGGAAACCUCUUCCACUGAAGAUAAUCAUUGAGGACAUCUACGGAGAUCUUAGCUUUGAGCAAAUGUCCUUCAACUGUACCUGCAGAUGUUCCCCCAUGAAUAGGAUAAUUAAUUAACAUAUCUGCCUUGUAAUAGUACUGUGAUACUACAUGCAAAUGAGCUACUGUACCAUAACAUAUAAAUCAACUAUCCAUAGCAUCUCUAUCCCCAGGGAAUCAAACACAUGUACCCUUUAAAUCCCUCCCAUGGCCCAACAUUUAUAAAUCCUUGAUAUUGCACGAACAAAACGUGUUUUGUGAUAUAAUCAGCUGUCCACCAUGGUUACUUGAAAUUUGUCAGUCAUUUAUUCUGGGGAGAGGGAGUACGCCCCUCCUCCCUGGAAAUUUGCCACUGAAUUUUCAGGGCUUGGCCACCAGCUAUGGUGACUGGAUAGUGCAAUAUAUCCACAAAACUGUUGACCUCAGGUGAAGCACCCACUGGGCUGAGACCUACCUUUCAGUCCAAGAGGCCUGCACCUCACUGUAUCUGCCUCCUGGCUUGUUGGACCUGAGCCUGGUCAGGCCUGUGAUUUUUCUGCAAUCCCACACCAAAGAGAUGGAACACUUCCACAUAAUCACAGGCACUUAUGUGUAAUACCAAAAACCUCAUUUAAAAAAACUGUAACACCUGUUGUAAACCUCAUUUCCACCUCCCACAGUGAGACGAUGUGCCUGGCCUAGAACACAGGCCUUGAGCUUGAACUAGUUUUCUUCCUUGAGCAGACUAAGUUGUUUUAUAGAGAAAUGGCACCUACAGUCUCAGGAUCCCUCUGUUCUUUGUCCAGAAACUGAGACCUGGUUCCAAAAAUACCACCGGAUGAAAAAAUGACACUCAGUGCUUUGUGAGAACAUGAAAAUAUUUAAAAAGAAAUC
rnacentral:lncRNA from 1 species